AAAAAUAAUGGCCGAAUCGAUCUCCGCAGCUGACGAUGCAGCGAAUAUAAUCGCCGCGUAUAAUUUACCUGCGUCGUAACAAGUGUUCCUAGGUGUGCAGAAGAGACCCCAAGAAGAGAGGAUGUCCUAGAAACACCAAGGCUUGACUCAGAGUCAGAGUUAAAACGCUGGAUAUGACAAGGCAGGAUGCAGCUAAAGCAGCUCCAAAUUGAGUUCGUUAUAGGACUGUCGCCAAUGGCCUAUGUUCCUCAUAGAACGACAGGCCGAAGUAAGUACAUGAAAAGAGUGCUCUUUCAACACUGCAUGGCAAUAUAAACAGUAUAUGCCUCAAAUUUUGAAGAAUCCUCAAUUCAAAUCCAGACUGCGGCAGCCCUACCAUGUAGCUGUUGGACUCAUAUGGGAUAACAAUAAUCAAAAGUCACGAUAUCCAUGCAUGGAUUUUAUCUCAUCUUGAUUAAAUGUAGAGAAAUCAUAUACAGUCUAUUUUGUGAUAGAAACUAAAAGAGAGAGGGCUUUGCAUUGUCCUUUUGAAUUUGCUAGGACAAUUUUUUAUGAACUUUAGAAUAUCGCUCAUGUACAUAUUUUUGUUGAAAGAUAAAGUACACUUAUUAAUACUGAUUAGGCCAUUCCAAUUUUUUUUAUGUUUAGUGUCUACGUGUGCCUUGGUUUUUGACACCCCAUGUCAGAAAAAAACAAACAGAAUUAAGAUUUCGAAAAUUGAUUAUUCAGGUCAAAAUUUUUGAUUUCCAGCAAUAUCUCUGAAUAUUUGUAUAAUACAUGUAUUUCAUUAUUGGAAUAGUUUUAGUAUUUAAUGCCUUGAUUUUGCUGAAGAAAAUAACUUUCUUUAUGAAAAAUCGAUAAAUGAAAUCAUAUCUUUUGAAUUAUGUCAUUUAUAUUACAAUAAAAUAUGUGUUUUAUUAUUUUUUUUUGUACCUGUGUGUUUUUAGCGAAUAGGUAGCUAGGUUUUUGAAAGAUGGGUGGACACUAAACAGAGAAAAAACUUGGAAUGGCCUUAGCUUCAACUAAAUAUUAAAGUUUAAAUUUGCCAUGGAUAUUUUAAUUUUACCAAUUUGACCAAGAUGUUUGCAGACUGACAUAUUUCUUGAACACGUUAUACAUGUUAUAUUACAACUAUUUGAAAUACAAUGUAAAUACCUAUCGUACUUACUUUAUUAUAUGCAAUGUCUUUGCAUAUAUUUGCAUGUAUACUCAGAAAAAUCAAAUGCAUGUUUUUUUUUCAAAGUUGUUACAAUAAGAGCUAUUUUAAGGGAAAGAAAAAAAAUUGACAUGAUAUUAAAACUUGUAUUUUUAUUUCAGCUUGUAAAAAUUCAUGUAUUAAUCAUAAUAAAUAAUAAAUUUGUACAUGUAUGUAAAAUUGUUUUCAAUUGAGAAUACUUGACUCUCUUUCGCACGUGAUCCUUGGAAUGUCAUGUGCUUU